rnacentral:rRNA from 2 species
UCUCGGCUCUCGCAUCGAUGAAGAACGUAGCGAAAUGCGAUACUUGGUGUGAAUUGCAGAAUCCCGUGAACCAUCGAGUCUUUGAACGCAAGUUGCGCCCGAAGCCAUUCGGCUGAGGGCACGUCUGCCUGGGCGUCACGCAU